GAUGAACGCUGGCGGCGUGCCUAAUACAUGCAAGUCGAGCGAACAGAUGAGGAGCUUGCUCCUCUGACGUUAGCGGCGGACGGGUGAGUAACACGUGGAUAACCUACCUAUAAGACUGGGAUAACUUCGGGAAACCGGAGCUAAUACCGGAUAAUAUAUUGAACCGCAUGGUUCAAUAGUGAAAGACGGUUUUGCUGUCACUUAUAGAUGGAUCCGCGCCGCAUUAGCUAGUUGGUAAGGUAACGGCUUACCAAGGCAACGAUGCGUAGCCGACCUGAGAGGGGGAUCGGCCACACUGGAACUGAGACACGGUCCAGACUCCUACGGGAGGCAGCAGUAGGGAAUCUUCCGCAAUGGGCGAAAGCUUGACGGAGCAACGCCGCGUGAGUGAUGAAGGUCUUCGGAUCGUAAAACUCUGUUAUUAGGGAAGAACAAAUGUGUAAGUAACUAUGCACGUCUUGACGGUACCUAAGCAGAAAGCCACGGCUAACUACGU
rnacentral:rRNA from 1 species